rnacentral:rRNA from 1 species
AAUGAACGCUGGCGGCGCGCCUAAUACAUGCAAGUCGAGCGAGAAGACGUAGCAAUACGUUUGUAAAGCGGCGAACGGGUGAGGAAUACAUGGGUAACCUACCCUAGAGUGGGGAAUAACUAGCCGAAAGGUUAGCUAAUACCGCGUACGCUCCUUGGACUUCGGUUCAGGGAGGAAAGCGAUGCCGAGGGUAUCGCGCUCUUGGAUGGGCUCAUGUCCUAUCAGCUUGNGGUGAGGUAACGGCUCACCAAGGCUUCGACGGGUAGCUGGUCUGAGAGGACGAUCAGCCACACUGGCACUGCGACACGGGCCAGACUCCUACGGGAGGCAGCAGUAAGGAAUAUUGCGCAAUGGGCGAAAGCCUGACGCAGCGACGCCGCGUGGGGGA